GACGAAAAAGUAACUUACCUAUCAAUGCUACUAAUGUGCUGGAGACAAUGAUCAUGACCAUUGACGUAAAAGUCGACUUCGUGCGCCUGUGAAAAACAUUCAAUCGAUCGAGCAAAUUAAAGCAUUAGUACAAACUAAGUUGCUUUUAGAGAUUCGUUAUCGACGACGAGUCGAACUAUAUAACAAAGUUUAAGUACAUUAGAUUACAAGAUUAAUCAUUUUAUUGCCUUGAGGAUGGGGAGGAGUGAUUUGAGAAGCUCUUUGGUGUCGCCGUGCUCGCUAACGCUUCUCAUUGUGUGAUGCCCCACAACAAUUUUCCAUGUCGCAACCGAUUCUUUCAAUGCGGAGUCCAAAUCCUACGCACAGAUCAUAAAAACACCCAAAGUUAUCGACGAGAGCUCAAAUUUACGAUCAAUCACGCAUCUUUUACGCACCUUUGAGAGGUUUUCGAUGUAAGUUUCGCGGGGAGAAACCUCCCUCCAGUCAUAGUGAUGGUCCUCAGGAUCAGUCCAAUACUUGUUGACGAAAGGGGUGGUAUCGACGAAGAAAAAAUCCGCGAUUUCUGAGAGAAAGGAAAGCAAAAGAGAUAAAAGAUCGAGAAAGGUCGAUCGCAAAUAAUUAAACCUAAAUAAUCGGAGAAUAAUGUAAGUUUUUACCUGCAUUGACAAUAAAAGAUCUCAUGCAAGUGAAUCGGGGAUCGAUCCUUCGAACUGCGUCGCUUAGUUGAGCUAGAACAUCACCCCUAUAAUCAUGAUUUCCGAGAACUAGAGAAAUAACACAAAAAUCAACAAAAAUCGCGCUAAAACAUUUAUAUAUGUUAAUAACUAAAAAUUUAUAUAUAUAUGUGUGGCGAAAAAAUUAUUACCAGUGUACCAUGGCUUGUGUAGGCUCUUUGCAGUGUAAAUGUUGGAGAAUGAUUCUUCGAACGCAGUAUCGUUGACGCCCGUUAAACCAUUUUCGUAGAAAUUAUCGCCGGUGGAUAUAACAAAAUCUAUGUCUAAUUCCUCUCCAAUCCUUCCCAUCUAUAAAAUCAAUCACAUUUUACAAAAAAUUUGGUUACAUUAAUUAGUUUCAAACUACAUAUUUGUUACUUAAUCUUUUUUUUAUACUUUGAUAAUAAUUGGUUCCUAAUUAGGGUAAUUUGAGAAUAGGAAUAAUUUGUUACUCAUCUAACCAAUAAAAAAAGAGAAAAUUGUCACCUCGCUAAUUAAAAACCCAAAAACUAACCUAAACAAACUAUAAAAUUAAAAGAAAGGGAAAAAAAUUCAACAACAGCAUUGAAGAUGCUGAUGAAGAGGUCAGGGGUUCGAUCUUCUGCUCGUGCAACUAUAAAAUAUGGCUCGAGAAACAAACUAAAUAUAUAUAUAUAUAUGUAGACUCAAAAGUAGUUAUAUAAUAAUUAAGUUGGUGCGAAAAUUUAGACCUGAGUUGCGACUAGGGAUUGGUUGUAGUUCCCUCGUCUCCCCCAAUCGCCGACGACGAGAAGGCUCAACGACCCGUCGCUCUUCGUCGGCUGAUCGAUCCUCGUGAGCUCCGCGAUGGCCGGCCCCGAGCAGAACACGAGCAGGAUCGAGAGGAUCAGAACCAGAGCCAUGGUCGUAUCAGAAAUCGAUGUAACCAUGGCUCUGGAUCUUCAAGGAAAAAAAAGACAGCUUGCGUAUAAUGCAUGCGAGGAACAACACAAAUAAGCAAACUCCUAAAAAUAUAUAUUAUCUAAAUAAACACGCAUAUUUAAAAAGUGAGAAGUGAAAGCAAGUGGAAAGUGAGUCGUGUCGUAAAAGACACCACCUUGUUUUUAUUAGUGGAAGCAAUUUUGGUGUGCGUGGAGAGCGAGGAAAACGAGGGGUACUGGUGCGAGAAAAUGCUAUUUUGUACAUUCAAAAAAUAAGAUAUUUAAUUUUAAAAUUUUAUUCUGAAAAAGCCGUUCAAAUAAUCAAAAUUGAGGACGGUACUAGACGCACCCAAAAUUUUUGGCAACUCAUUAUUACACGUACCUAUCUAAAGUUUCAAAUAUAUUUUUUAAUUUUUUAUAUUUUUAAACAAAUAAAUAAGAGUAGUAUGAAAAUACAAUUUAUGUGGUUUCGCAUUUUUCUCACUUUACUACUCUAUAAUUUAAGUUGUAUUACUUUAGUAUUUUAUGUUUUCAAUUUUCUCUUUCUAUUAUCCUCUCUUUUAAUUUUUUCGUUAAAUCACUGACAAAGUUAAAAUUAUAGGGUACUAAAAUAAAAAUUCGAUAAAUCACAAGAUACUAAAGUGAAUAUUCGAUAAAUCAUAAGUGGGGUAUUUGAAGUUUUUUGUAAAUGAUUUAACGGAGAGUUAACGGUAGUGCUGAUAGAAAAAAGAAAAAUGAACCACAGUAUACUAAAGUAAUAUAUUUUAAACCACAUGAUAUUAAAAUGAGAAAGUGUGAAACCACACGUAUAGUAUUUGAAGUUUACCCUAAUAUAUGAUUUAUAUCUACAUUUUUUGGGUCUACAAGUAUUGUUACUUGCAAAUAAAAAAUAAAUAAAUAAUUUUUCGAUUGAAAAUUCCCCUUUGAUACAACACGUUGAGACUUUUCCCUCUAAUAGCUUAAAACAUAAUUAUUUUUUUGUGAUUUUUAUAUUAUUUUUGAAAGUAAACUAAUUUUAAAAAAUAAUAGUACACUAAUAUAUUCAAUAACAUUUAUAUAUGUGUCUAUAAUUUAUACCUAAAUUAUCGAUCUGAUUGGAGCCGCUUACGAUAUAUAAUUUAUACUCCAUUAAUUUUAAAGAAAACUUCAAAAAAACCCCUGUAGUUUCACACUUUUUUAUUUUAGUACCCUGUGGUUUAAGGUGUAUCAAGUUAGUAUAUAUUCUGUGGUUUCUCAUUUUAUCACUUUAGUACCCUAUGGUUUAGAGUGUAUCAAGUUAGUAUCAUGUAGUUUUGCACUUUAUCACUUUAGUAACCUGUGGUUUCACACUUAUCACUUUAGUACUCUGUGAUUUAAAAACCACAGAGUACUAACUUGAUGUAAAAUUAAAACCACAGGAUACUAAAGAGAUAAAGUGUAAAACCACAGGGUACUAACUUGAUACACUUUAAACCACAAGGUACUAAAGUGAUAAAGUGAGAAACCACAGGGUACUAACUUGAUACAUUUUUUAACCACAUGGUACUAAAGUGAAAAAAAUUGAAACCACAAGGGGGGUUUUUGAAGUUUUCCCUAAAUUUUACAAUAAGAUUUUAUAAAAAUAUUAAAAUAGAAAUUAAUCGCAAAAGAACAAUUAAAAUACUACACUUUGAACUAUAAUAAGGUGUUAGUUAACUGAGAAUUAAGUAUAAAUUAACAUAAGGAUCUUUUUGAAAGAUCCCGAAGAUGUGGGGGCCAAGUAAUAAAAUAAUAAAUUAGUGACGUGGCGGAACGUGGUUGGUUAGUGCCUUCACCGGGUGUUACCGCACCCGGUUGUCUCCAUGUGCGGUGUGGUCACUGCCCGGUGAUUUUAAGAAAUGGUGUUUCGCGUAGGUUAAUAAUAACAAUAUAUGAAAACCACCUCAAUUAUAGAUUAUUUUGUAAAGGAGUCCUCAACUUUAUUACCUUUUGAUUUACAAUCCCUUUAGCUCGGGGAUGCAAACGGAUUCGGGUUGGUGGGGCUCCCGCCCCGAUCCGCUCCUAAUGCGGCAGUAAACGGAAAUAAAUAAAAGGAUUCGGGGCAGAGAAUGGGGUAGUUUUUAUGAUCCGAGAUGGAUUCGGAAUAGAAAACAAAAUUUUUUUUUGACCUGCUCCGAAUCCGUCUAGAAAAUUAUUUAUAUUUUAAGAAAAUAUCUCUAAAAAAUAAUAUAUUUAUAAAAAAGUUCAAAAUACAAAUAAGUUGAUGCUUUCAUUUUUCAUAUAUAUAUUUGAAAUUUUUAAAGUUUGCUUCGAAUUGUGAUUGAUAUUUUUUAUUUUUAUAAUUGAUAUUAUUAAUUUUAUAUAUAACUUAGUAAUAUUAUUCAUUAUUAUUAGAAAAAUAUUAACUUAUAAUUUACAAAAUAUUAAUAAUAUUAUAAUAUAUUAAUUGGUGAGGUGGAUUCGGGUGCCGGCGGGCGGGACGAAUUAUGAAAUAUAUUUUUUAACCCGUCAUGGAUUCGGGACGGGAGGUAGGGCGGGAUUUUGGUAGUCGGGGCGGGAAGUAGAGCGGGACUUCCGCCCCAUAUCUGUUUUGUUUCCAUCCCUAGUUUAGCUUUUAUUUUUUUUAUUUGAGUAAUUCCAGUUAUUUAAGUUAAAAAUUUUAUUAAAUUUAGCGGUUCAAUUAGGCAAUACCAGAUAAUUGUUCCGGAUUCGUUUACUACCAAAUAAUUAAAAAUAUCAAAUUUGAUAAAAUCAUCAAAACUUUGAUAAAGUUUUUGGUUAAAACUAAUUAAUUUUGGGGGAAAAAAUGCAAUUCAACAAUAGGUAACAAAUUACCGACUAUCCCUAGAGCAAGUGACAAAGAGCUUGGUGGUUGGUAUCCGAGUUUUCAAAUUCGAAUCCUAAUUUAUUAACAUUUCCAGCUAGGUUUAUUUCUAAAUGAAAUAAACGAAGCGGGUAGCGUGCUACCUAUUUCUUAAAAAAAAAAAAAAAAACAAUAGGUAACAAAUUAUCAUGACUAUCUAAUGGUAUAUGGUAAAUAUCAAUUUAGAUUAUUAGUGUGUGCAUAUAUAUAGUAUUUAAAAAAAUAUUUGAAAAAAUUAUAUAUAGAUGCAUAUAAUAGGUUUUAUAUACAUGUACACAAGAAUUUAAGUGUCUAUCAGUACAGGUCGUAUCUACCGUGCUGUGUCGUGCCAAUCAGUUAUCGGCACAAUACAAGUCCCGUACCGAUGGCACAGCUUAAAACCCUUAAUUCUUUAAAUUAAUAAAUAAUUUGCUGAAUAAAGUUCAAAAGAUUUGAUAAAAAUAUAUAAUAAACAAUUAGAAUAUUACGUUGCUAAAAAAAAUAAAUAUUUCAUACUAUUAUGUGUCGGCACACAUGAUUUUUUUUUAUGACCGACACGUAUUGGUAUGGCCCGGCAUAUACUGUGCCGUAUCAUGCCAGCAAAUUUUCGACACGACCCCGUAUCAUGGCACUUAAAUCCUUACAUGUAUAAGUAAAAAUUAUAACCUCGUCGGAUUUUGAAUUUUUAUUCAUGAUAAUCGAAACCAUAGCCGUUUAAGACACCCCUAGAACUAAGCGGGUGUCAAUUAAAAAAAAUAAUAAUAAAGUUGAGGAGUGUUUUUCAAAGUUACUGCAGUUGAGAGGGCCUCCAUGCAUUUUUACCAUAUAGCUUUGUCCUUCUUAUUAUUAUUCUAGUAUAUAUUAUGAGAAUAUUCUCCCAAAAAUUGCGUUUAUUCUGAAGCUACAGUUUCUAAUAACGCACCUAUGCUUUAUAUGGAAAUUUAUACUAAAAAUAAUUUCUAGUUUUUCAAUAUUUAUAUGCAAUUUUUUUUAGUUUUUAGUUUUUAUUUCGUAAAAGUUUAAUACUCAACUUUUUUUUUCUGGGAAAUUUAAGAAUACACUAUUAACACUUUGGUCCUUCAUGGAAACACCCAAAUUACAAACAGUUGGUUUGUAUCUAUUUCCACUUAAUAAAUUUAAUCCAAUAUAUACACUUGAUAUGUGAUAAAUUCAAACCAAAAAAAAAAUGUGAAAAUUAAAAAUAUUGUGCAUAUAUAUAUAUAUAUACUAGAAAACAAUAAUUAAUUGCUUGUGAUAUGUACAAAACAUGUCCAGCUAUUCAAAGCAUGGGCUAAUGCAAAUGGUGCUGUACGUGUCCUGUUAUGCAAAUAAUAUUUUUAUGCCAUUGUACCUGGAAUGAAUGUGAUGCUCCAUUUCUCAAAGGUUAGCUAUUUUAGAAUUAUUCCAGUCUUAGCACGCUUAAUCUAAAAUACUAUAACUGGAUUAAGAGAUUUAAUUUUAUUAUACGUCAUUACUAGGUAUAAGUACAUGUACAAAUAUCGAACGAUGUGAGACUUAUUUCGCUAGCUUUAGCUGACUUACGGUCGUCGAUCGGAGAGCUGCGCCCUGUCAUCUAUAUGACCCUAAUUGACUUUAUGGGAAGCCACGCUUCACCCAUACCAAUCGUUAGAUGGAAAAACACGUUCUAUCCGCUGGAUAUAUGAACUUAAUUUAGCGGAGACUUAUAUUAUACUUCUAGCUAAUAAUAGACUUUAAUAUUUGACGUGACGCCGCGCUUUCCAAAAAGAGGCCACUCAUCCUAGAACUAUUUUAACAUUAACACACUAAAUCCUGUUAAUCUCUUGGGCCUAAUCACUGUCCAAAAUAUUAUAUCGCCCGCUGCUUGUAAAAAUAGUCUUAUAUAUAAGAUAUAAUAAGGCUAAACCUCUUGAUCUGGCUAUAGCCGGUCGUUAAUCUCAAGAGGUUAAGAGAGUUAACAGUGUUAGAGCUAAAGUAGUUGUAAGAGAGGUGACCACCUGGGAAGCAGGGCAUCACAGACGGAAUAAGAGAUUUAAUUCUAUUAUAUUAUAUAUAUAUAUAUAUAUAUAUAUAUAUAUAUAGUUAUAUAUAUAUAUAUAUAUUAUAAUAUAUAUAUAUAUAUAUUUAUAUUAUAUAUAUAUUGUAAUUAGUUGGGAGUGUCACAAUGAAAUUGUUCUUAAUACAACCUUAUAAUUCUUCACCCUUUGAUAACACUUUUUUUUUUUUUACCUUUACUUUCUAUUCUUUAUCUACUUUUUAUGAAUGUUAGUGCCUUCGUUUUUCGAGCUUAACUUAUAGCUAGGAUAUCACAGAACUUUUUUUUUUAAAAAAAAAUAGUCUAAGUUGAAAUUUAUAUUUAUAAAAAUUGAUUUGUCAAAAUUUUAUUUGUAAAAAUAGGUUUAUAAACAACUAAGUGUAUAUGAGCUGAAAAAAAAUAUAAUAAUUGUUUAUUUUAUUCUGAAUGUGGCAAAUUUUUUUUGUAUUUCAAUAGCUGGCGAACCGUUGUUGAAUUUUAAAUGUGGUAAAUAAUUUAUUCCCUUUUUUUAUACUCCACUCGCUAUAUAUCUUGCUCUUUGAUCUAUGCUCCACAAAAAAAAAAACUUUCCAAAUAUCAAUUAAUGUUAGAUCCGAAGCCAGAGAUACAAGCCCAAAAUUUAAAAACACGUGGGGUUCGAACCUUUUGACCUAAAGAUCAACAUUCUGGUACCUUAUUAGUAGACUCAGCGAUUUCGUAAGAUGUAUACUUUGGAAAAGUAAGAUGAUUUACUAUUGCAUCGAUUUAUAAAGAAAAGAAGAACAUAUAAUGAAAGAUCCAUAAUUAAUGUAAUAGAAAUCUAGGGUUUAAAAUCAAAAUUGAAUCCGAAAAGUUGCUCAAAUUAGGUUUUAAUUUGGACCUGGAUUGUUAUUUAGGCCCAAUCAAAGCCCGGUCCAAUAACGCCCUGUCGGGCCGACCCAUGUACAUGUUUUGUCCUAUGAGUGGUUCCAAACUUACCUAGGGCAUUCCUCUGAUUUUUUAUCUCAUAAAAAUGUUUUCACAUAAAAUCAUCACAACAUGAAUUCCUAUAUUUAAUUGUUCAAGUCACUAGAUUUGAUGUAAUUAAUGAUACGUUUAUUUGAAUUCUCCAAUUUAAUUAACUAAAUUCACUUGAUUGAAAAAAAUAAAAUUAAAUGGGAGAUUUUUUUUUUAAUUUUAUUUAUUUAUUUUUUUUGAGUAAGCUGUUUCAAAAUGCCCUAUAGUUGAUGGGAUGGGAUCUCCAUACAAUUUUAGCUAAAAACAUUUCUUAUUGAAGUAAGAAGGAAACCUAAGGGAUAGGUAUUGUGUUUAGGGAUGUUAAUGAGUACAGAUAUCCGAAAUUUUAUUCCAAUUCAAAUUCGAACGGGACAAUUUAUCCAAUGCUAAAUAUAUGGAUAUGAUUUUGAAUAUAAAUAAAAAAUAAAAAAAUAGAUGGAUUCGGAUUUGAGUAUGAAUUUUGUCUGUACCCGAUCCAAAUCAGAACCCAACCCAUAAUAGAAUAGUUUUUAUGUUAUAUAGUAUAUAUGAAUAUUUAAUGUUAUAUUUAAAUUUGUAUUUAAACAUUUAGAUUUUAUUAUAAUAUGUUUUGAAAUAUGAAAAAAAGAGAAAAUUUUUCGGGUUUAGAUUUUCAGAUUUGAGUUUGCGUUUCGCGUUUUUAGUUAGGAUUGGUUUUGGAUAUAAAUUUUUAAAAAUUUGUUGAAUUCGGAUUUUCAACACUACAACAGAAUUAGGUUAUAGGGACACAUGUUUGGGACACUUUUGUGUAAGUGUCCAAUUUAUGCCAAAACUUUAAAAAAUAUCUACUAAUACCUAAAUAUAAAAUCCAAUUCAACCAAAAAUAAAAUGUUACCCUACUUAACCCACCCCACCCAGCCCAUUCGGCCCGAUUACAAACAAAAAAGAAAAAAAAAAAUCUAUUACCAUCCCCCCUUCUCUCCUCGCUCAAUCCACUGAAAUUCUAGACGAGAAGCCCUUCCCUCUCGUACUCCUCCGCCACCGCAGCCAACGAGGUAGAGUUUCGGCGGUUACUAAAUGCUUAAAUAAGUAUUGGUAAAUUAGCAGCACUUUUUUUAGAUUAUAGCGACACUUUUUAACUGUCACUAUAUACCUAGCGAUCCCACAUAUAGCAACACUUUUUAGCCUUAGUUUGGUAUUGAUGUCUAUCUAACGCUAUUAGAUAAAAUGGAGUUAAGGAAAAAACAUAUAGGGAUAUGUUCCUGCAUUCUCCGGUGGGACCGCAGAAAAUAUAUCGUAACCGACUCAUCGCGAUAUGCGGAACGCAAUAUUACGUACGGAAACAAACAUGGUAUUUUUCCAACGCACUUUCUCACCGCACGUAACGCAAUUCUCCCGCACUCCGAAACAAAGCCUUAAAAGUGUUGGUAAUUUAGCCAGCAGCACUUUUUUUGACCUGUACCGAUAUUUAAAAGUGUUACUAUAAAUUAUUUUUGUUGUAGUGCAAAAUCUGUCUCGAAUCUGACCUUUUGACGGUCCUAAGCAUGUUUCAUAAUUGCAGGCAAUAAUUAGGUUUGCUUUUUAAAAAAAAAAAUUGAAAAAAGUUGCUCAAUUAUGAGUCUUGGGCUUAACGCUGUGUAGAAGCACCACUUUUCAGUUAGACUUCAGAAAAUAUAUUUCAAAAUUUAGUCCUCAAUAUUUAUAAUGUGUUUGUUUAUAUAGUUUUAUUUAAGUUAAUAUAAGCAUCUAUAUCCCACAUGUGCACUUAAUUUCCCCCAGUUUUCUAUGUUCUUCUAAAAUUGAAAUUAAAAUGUAAAAUAACAUCUUGGAUAAUGGUAGGGAGUGCUUGGUUGCGCGUAAAAUUAUUAAAGAUAUAUAUAUAUAUAUAUAUAUAUAUAUAUACAUUUGUUAAAGUUUUGUUGCACGUAAAUUGGAAAAAGUUUCUGAUGUAUGUAUACCUAUAAAUUGUUUGGUUUGAAAAAAAAAGAAAAUAGAUAGAGCAAGAGGUUCAGUUAUUUAGUUUGUGUCAUCGGAAAAAAAAAAACAUAAAUUGAAAAUAACAGUUUUCCUUAAAUACGUAAAACUAUUUUCGAUUUAAAAGUAUUUUAUAUGAAAUCAAACACCAAAUUUGAUAUAUCAACCUGAAAUUAUUUGCAGGGUCAUUUAAUGAGCAACCAAAGAGUACUCCUAGAGCCCAAUAUUCAUUUUUUGAGGGGUAUGCUAUCAAGUACGUAUUAUUUGAGGCAAAAGUUUAUUAAAAAAAAUCUUUUUUUUUUCCCUAUACUGUGGUACUUGCAUUGGAAUAGCAUAGAGGAAUCAAUUGAAUAAGAUCUAUGUUCCUCAAAGAAGUUUAUAUUCAUUUAUAAAGGGGCCAGCAUCCUGCCCUACAGCGUCAGGCAAGAUUGGGGUGAGUCACGUUCGAAAUAGCGUGAGACUAAAUUGGUUCGAGUUAUGUUCGAAAUUGCGUGAGGCUGGUUAAGCCGAGUCACAAUUGAGACCCAUAAGUGCUAUGUCUCUAUGCUCUAAAUGAAUUGAUUGCGUAUUUCUAACGGCUCGAGCUUUUAGAAUUAAUAAUUUGUGCUAAGGAUUCGACAGUUUAUCUUGUGAAGCACAAGGACUCAAACUAAAAAAUGACCACUGUAUAACAAUUGAAUAUAGAAUCAAUCAUUCAAUUUUUUUCUUUGUUACUAGUAUAUAUAUCUUUUUUUUUACUCUUCUUUUCUAAUAUUUGUUUGGACCAAAUUGUGUUCUUCAUUUACUUUUCAUGAUUUUUGGACAUGAAUAAUUUAAACAAUAAAAACUUACAAAAAAUUGCUAGCGAGCAAAAAACAAACAAUAUCUCUCUUGUGCUUAAAUAUUUCCAAUCCUCAUACCACAAAUGCUUAACACACAUCAAUUUUAAGUGCUAUCCACACCACUAGCUAGCAACAACAAUAUUCUAGUUACAAAUAAAAGAAGCACUAAUAAAAAAUAAAAGAAAAAAAAAAAAAAGGGAAACAUACCCACUGUGGCUGGUGAAAAGAAUCUAACCAAAAAAGCAAUAAAAAUGAACAAGAAAAAGGACUUGUUGUAGGUGAGACAAUGCAUGAUAGAGUUCUCCAUCACUGUAUACCUCCACUCCUCAUAGGCUCAAAAGGGAAACAGUAAAUAUAUAGGGAAAGAGUAUUUAAAUAUAUAGAAGCUUAAUUAAUUUGUGACCAAUAUUAGCAAUUCUCUGUACCCAGCCAAUCUGGUCUCCCUAGUGUGAACUCCAAACUAGGGAUUUUGAGUUCUUGAUGAGGUCUACUUGAGCCACUUGAGUGGCAAAGAUGAUCACCAUCCUGCACCAAAGUCAAAAUAUAUAUGUAUCUGUAUGUCUAUAUAUUGAACUCUUAGUCUCUUAGACAUAACUUAAAUGAUGGUUCAAACUUACUAGGUGAUUCUCUCUCUCUCUCUCUCUCUCUCUCGUACACACACAUAGUGAUCUACGAUUAAUUACUAUGCUUUUAAGAAGAAGCAGGCCUUUGCACAUACACUUUAUUUUUAGUGAUAGAGCAUACUAAUCAAUACAUGAUAGUAGAUAACCUAAAUAGGUACCAUAAUCUCCACCCUCAUAAAAGCAUAGUACGUAGCUCUCUCUCUCUCUCUCUCUCUCUCUCUCUCUCUCUCUCUCUCUUACUCCCUCAUGCACACACACAGAGAGUUUGCUAUGCUUUUAUGAAGUAGGCCUACGUAUGUACACUUUAUUUUUUGGAGAAGUGCUUAGUCUACAGGUAAAAAACGGUUAUAAUCUCUAUAUAUAACCCCUCACCUAAGGGAGAAGUGCUUAGUCUACAAGUGAAAAAAAGGUUAUAAUCUCUAUAACCCCUCACGUAAGGGUGGCUAGGCUUCACUAAUUAGGUUUUUUUUGUUUUUAGUAAAUGAUAAAAAAAAUUGAUAAGGCCAGUGGAGAAAAAGUAACCAUUGGAUGAGAAUAUUAUAGAAUACAAUCAAUUUUGGGUUGUGGUACUAAUCAAUACAUGAUAGAAGACAACUAAAUAGGUACGAUAAUCUCCCACCUAAUAAAAGCAUUGUAUAACUCUCACUCUCUCUCUCUCUCUCUCUAUUUGGAUUUGGAAUUAUUAAUAGUAUCCUAGCUCAACUCUAUCUGCGAACAUGUCUGCGUGCGCGCGUGUGAGUUUUUGUUUCCCUAUCAAAUCUCUCUCGGUGCAUGCGUGCGUAUCUGUUAGAACGUUUAUGUAAGGGUUCGAAGCCAGUAGAAUAUAUGGUACCUGGAAUUGUGAUGAAGCUGUCAUUGAUGCGUGAUCUUCUAGUUCGCAUGAAUUCAUCUGAAGCCAACCGCCCUUGCUGAAAGUAUAUAUACAAGAGGAGAACUUCUUAGUCAUGAAAAUCAUUCCCAAUGUUUUUACAACAUAUAUAAGUCACAGUAAAUUUGCUAACACAACUAGUUUUCUUUUGAUGGAACUUAGCUCAUUAGUAUUUAUGUUAAGUCAUGCUGAAAACAUGAAUGCAUUAUAUAUAUAUAUAUUUUUUUCGAGCAGAGACAUUAUGCAUACAUAUAAAUACAGUAUAAAAUUGUUUUAUAUAAAUAUAAACAAUUUUCUAUCAAAGUUUCAUAUGAUUCGAAUAUUUUUAACUAACUUUUCUUGACAAUACACGUUCUCAUAGAUAUCUGAGUGUUAUCUUGUAAAUGCCAUGCAUUUUGAGACUAACAAUCACGCUUGGUGACUACGGUUCGUUUCAUUUACGAAUCUAUUUCCUGAUUAAAUCUUGAUUAUUAGUCUCAAAUGGCAUUCAUAAGAUAACACUCAAGUAUCUAUGAGAAUAUGCAUGUAUUGUUGAGAAAAGUUAUGUACGGCACAACCACUCCAUGGAUGUUAUUUUUGUAACAGGAUUCGUGAUCGAUCGACUAAUUUAAUGCUCGAAAGAAAUUGUCAAAUGGAACAAUUUGUAUAAAUUGUAUCUUAAGUUUGGUUUUACUUGUUUGCUUUUAUAUUAAUUUUUUCAAACUUCUCCACAGAGUUAAGCAUUUAAAUUACAUAUAUGUGUUUUUCCUUGUGUGGAUAUAUAGGCUAGUCAUGGGUUACUAUUAUUAAAGUUAAUUACUUAUUGUUCAAAAUCUCUCUCCCUUCAAAAAAAUUUUGUAGAGUCUACAUAGAGAUGAAAAAAAAACAAUACAAAUCAUAGGAAAAAUCUCUACUAUAUCAAUAUAUAAUUAAAUUGCGCAAUAUUGGAAAAUAUUCCUCUUUAAAUUAAGACCUUAAUGGGUCCUAUGAUUUAUUAGGAAGUAGAUGACAUAUUAUUAACAAAUUAGGUUUUGCCUAGCAGUUGGUACCCUCCCUCUCUUGGGAGAGGACAAAUUAACAGAUUUUCAGUAUUUCCAAAAAAUAAAAAAAAGGAACAAUUUUGUAGGAAAAAAGCAAACUAAAAGAGCAAGGAAAUUAUAUACAAUAUAGUUUGUUUUUCUAUUUAAUUACCUUCAAAAACACUAGGAAAUAUACAAAACAUAGAUGAUUUAUUAAAGAAAGGUAACUACUUAAUGGCAAAAUGAAAUGAGGAUAACCUUCAUAUCCCACAUUUAUUAUCCUACUUGUAGAGCUAGCUGUAGCUUAAAAGAAAACAAGAAUAAAAUAAGAGCAUAGAAACAAAGAUAGAGGAGACAUGUAACAUAUAAAUAACUCUAGGGUACAUUAAUUGGGUCAAAACAAGCUCAUGUUCUCAGAGCCCAUGCAGUGGAAAAAGAAGUGAUUUAACUGGACUAAUAAGAACAAAGAAAGAAAGGACAAAAAGGAACCCUAGAACCAAAUGCUAGACCACAAUAUAUAUAAUAAGGCACCAACAUCAAAGAGAGAGGAGCACUCAACUCAAGGUGUGUGUAGCUUAGUCUUUCUGGUUACAACCACUAAAUAUAUAACAUAUCGCUUAGGAGAAGACAACGUACGUAUUAAUCUAAGAUGAUGAACUACAAAGGAUAUGGCAUUCACAAAGCAAGGUGUUGUUUCAUAUCUAUAUAUACUGUGUUUUUGAUUUAACAAGUGGAGAUCUUUCUUUUCCCCUCUCCCUUAGCUUUUGCUUUAAAUCUCCCUGUGAGAUCUCAAGUAACACAAAAGCAAGAGAGAAAAGCAAAAGCUGCCAUGCAUAUAUCUAUACCCUUUUGCACCAAGAUAUGGAAAACAUAGCUAUGAUGCUCCAUCUCCUAACCUUAAUUGGGUAAACUAAUGCAUAUAUAUAUAUAUAUAUAUAUAUAUGUAUAUGUAGAGGUGGCUUACAUUGAUGGGUUAUUCCACAUGGUAAUGGAGUCCUUAUCGUGUUGGUGGAGCGGCGCAUUUGAAUCUCCUUGUGAUGACAUUGAUCGUCGCAACCCAAAAUCGGUGAGCAUAGGAGUGAAAUCUUCUUCACCUGAGCAUUCUGAUUGGUCUUAAGAAAAUUUUAAAGAAAAAGUUUAGGAAAUAAGUGUUAAAAGCGUUUUUGCAGAAAAAAAAUUAACUGGAUAAGAAUCUUAAGCAUGGUUUUAGCUAAGUUAAUGAAGGGUAAAGGUAUAUUAAUGAGUAGGCACCUCCAAAAGACCAAGGAAUAUGAAUUACCUGGGGAAGUUGCAGGUUUCUCAGUGGACUUAACAGUUCUAUACAUCUGUAGACACAAAAGAGAGAGAGGGAGAGAGAGAGAGAGAGAGUGAAAAAAAAAGACCAAUAGAGAGAGAAAUAGAGAGAGAAAAGAAGAGAAAGAGGAGUGAAGUGAUGUUACUACAAUAAAGGAGAAUAGGGGUGAGAAGGAAAGUAAAAGAGGUGAACUCAAGGUUCACUCCAAACUAAUGCUCUUUUCUUUCUUCUUUUCAGGUUGUUUCCUUUCCAUUUUAAAUACCUCCAUUACUCACGAGGUUGAUGCUUUGGGAGUUGUUUGUUUACAGCUUUACAUUAUUGUGAAAUGAUGGCUCCUUUCUCUCUCUCUCUCUCUCUCUCUCUCUCUCUCUCCCCUCUUCUAUUAAUCGCACUCUCCUGUCUGAAAGAAGACCCCAUUUACCCUAUUCAUCCAUGUAGAUCAUUCACUCCCCCAAUUCAUUCAUGUAGCCAUUCACUGUUCGUACUGGUUACUACGCACAAAUAGAGAGAGAGAGAGAGAGAGAGAGAGAGACCUAGUUGAGUGGUUGGAGAAUGGACAUACCUGCAAGUGGCUCUUUACAUGGGCAAGAGUGAGAUCUUUGACAUCCAUAAGCUCAAGAACUGAUUUUGGUGUAGCUCCUUGUUUGUUCACAAGUUCAGGAAAAAAAAAAAGAAUAAACCCCACAAAAUCAACAACAAACACCAAAUUAACUUACAUACAACUGAACUAUAAAUUUACCUAAAAACCCCUCAUUAUUUGGUUAAAAGAAAGCAAAGAGAUAAAUCAAGAAAUAAAAGAUAGGGAAAAGGAACAUAUAUUUGUUUGCUUACUCUCAUGGCCACCUAGGAGGUCGACGGCAUGCACGAACCGUGCAUGGAGAGCGCUCGUCCACCGCAUUCUCGGCGCCCGCAUGUUCCUCUUUGUAGGGAACUUCGGCACGAAUAUCCUAGAUCUUAUCAUGCUUUGGGAGCUCUCAAAUGCCCCAACUCCAUACUGAUUGAUAUUGUAGUAUUGGUAGUGAUCACUUCUCAUCGGGUCGAAAGCAUAUCCACCAAAGCUUGUUGGCGGUGCAAUUAUUCGAUGAUACGGUGAUCCGAAGGCCGGUAAACCUCCGUAGGCGCUAGAAGAAGAGCUAAAAGAGGAGUGUGGAUUAGAUGGGUGCAAAGAGAUUUGUGGGUCGUGCCCCCUUUCUGGAGAGGAUGAGGGUGGGGUGUUGUAUGAGGGGAGGCCUCUUAUCGGUGUAGCGAUAUCGAACAAGGAUGUCAUGUGGUUUGUCGACGACAGGGAGAGGUCAGUGCGAGCGUGAGAGACAUCGGCGUGGGUGGGCUCUACGGGGCGAAGGAGGAGGUCGAGGCCGAGAUCACGGUCGAGGUUGGGUGCGGUGGAGGGACAGUUGUUGCUCGGGGGGCUGAUGUUUAGUGAGAGGUCCGGAGAGGGCAUUGAGUUGGUUCCCAUGAAGAGUUCUUAAGACAACAUCAAAUGAUCCUAUAUAUAUAUAUGCUUGGUUAGGGUUUGAUGGUGUUGUGUUUGGGUGACAAGCUAGAAGAAACUCAGUUCACUACAUUAGAGUUAGGGACAAAGUAGAGAGAGGGAUGACUUAUUUUAAUGGCUAUUAAUUUAUGGGAAGAUAUCUUCUUUGAGAGGAGGAGAGUAAAAGGGGGAUGAUGAAGGAUUGGAUGGUAAUGCAACUGUUUGUGUUUUCUUUCUCUUCUCCUUCUACUGGAUAUGUUUGUGUAGAGAGAGAGAGAGAGAGAGAGAGAGAGAGAGAGAGAGAGAGAGAGAGAGAUGGGUGGGUGAUCAAGGUAUAGUGUGAAUGACUAAAGUUGAUGGGGAACAAAAAGAAGGGAAAAGGAAGAGCAUUUAGUAGGAAAAUGGGGUCUCGUCUCCUGUGAGCAAAUUUGGGAAAAUGACUUUGAGAGAGAGAGAGAGAGAGAGAGAGAGAGAGAGAGAGGAGAUUAGUCAAAGUACAAAGGGGAUUUCACUCUUAUAUGGACUAACCUUAAUUACAAGUAACAAGUUUCACAGUUUUUCUUUUCCUGGUUACUUUUUUUUCCUUUUCUCUUUUUGGGGCAUCAAGUAAUAGUGGAGGAAGUUACGGCCACGUUAUUAGAAAAUGACAUGCACAAUAAGUUGGUUAACAAAGGCAAUCAUAAAAAUCUUUAGAUUAUGAGAAAUGCUGGGAGUAUACAAUCAAGGAGUGUAACUCUACAAUUACUCAUCCAAGAAUGUCGAGGGUUAAUGAUCAUAUCUAGCGCAGUUGGCUACGAAUUUAAUAGUUGAUAUGUAAGAUCCAAAGUUCAAUCUAGUUAUUUUACAAUUCUAAUUGAAUUUAUUUCUAAAAAAUGGCAAUAAAGAUAGUUUGCUAUCUACUUUACUCUUAAAAAAAAAAAAAGGGGGGAAAAAUGAGCAUGGAGAGUUUACUAAACCUUUUUUGAUUUUUCGUGAAAAAAAAAAUUGAUAAAAUUAAUGAAAAAAGUAUUGUAAAAUUACAACCCAAAGUGGGAUGCAGACCACCUUACCACUCCUCCCUUGGAGUAAGGGGGUUGUAAUCCUACGGUCUUUUUGGAUUGUAGACUUAGCAUUUCUCUAAACGAUAUAUCAAGAUGGAUAUAUGAAACAUGAAUUUUAAAUGGUGAACAGGCCAAAACCAAAUUACACUACAAUAAAAACGGUCUAUAGGGACACUUUUAAAUGUCGGUAUAGGUCAAAAAAAGUGCCGCUGGCUAAAUUACCGACACUUUUAAAAAGUAUUGCUAUAUGUGGGGUCGCUAGGUAUAUAGUGACAGUUAAAGAGUGUCGCUAUAACCUAAAAAGAAUGCUGCUAAUUUACCAAUAUUUAUUUAAACAUUUAGCAAACGCCGGAACUCUACCUCGUUCUCUAUGGUGGCGGAGGAGGAUGAGAGGGAAGGGCUCAUCGUCUAGGAUUUCAGUGGAUUGAGUAAGAGGAGAAUGGGAGAUGGUAAUCGAUUUUUCUUUUUCUUUUUUUUUUUUCUUUUCUGUUUGUAAUCGGGCCGAAUAGACUAGGUGGGGUGUGUUGAAUAGAGUAACAUUUUAUUUUUGGUUAGGUUGGGCUUUAUAUUUAGAUAUUAGUAGAUUUUUUUAAAAGUUUUGAUAUAAAUGGAACAUUUACACAAAAGUAUCUCAAACAUGUGUCCUUAUAAUUUAAUUCUGUUGUAGUGAAAUGUACACGCCUCCAUAGAUAAAUAUAGAAAUGAUUAGUAUUAGUACAAAGCAUUUUUGGAGUGGAUGGACAUGAAUUCUUAGACCUUAGCAUACUCUAAAAAGACCUUGAUAUUAACUGAUCAUGAAUAGAAAUUAUUACUAAAAAAAUGGAUGUAUUGAAACGAAUAAAAACCUACUGUACUGGUCAAAUCUGUUCUUAUUUUCCUAAUUAAUAUUACUAACUACAUUCUAAUGUUUUUUCUCUCAAACUUUGCUAUAUGUUGCUACCGAGUUCGAUAUCAAAUAAACGAUAUAUAUGCAUCAAAGUAUGAAGAUCGGCUAAAUUGCAUAGGGUUUAUGACAGAAAAAAUUUAUUUAUGUGAGGAGGAUUUGUAGUUGUUGAAGUGACUAAAGUUUCUUCCAACAAAUAAAUUAUAAGCUUCAGAGGCCCUUAAAUUAGAUUGCUAUGCCAUUUUCUGUAGUUCCAUACAUAUUAUUAAUUGAUGCUUUGCAAGAAAAGUCAAGAUGAAUUAUUUCACAAUUGUUUAAGAAACUCCUUAUUGUAGUACACAUGAAUAGAGCAAUUCAAAAUCAAAUAAAUAAAUAAACUAGAUUCCGAUUGUCGCUUAUACAAUUAUAUAGAAGCUUAGUAUUACACAUAAUCCCCUGAGGGAUCUUCACAUGAUCAUAGUAAAGCACCCACUAGAGGGGGAAACAUGCAUGAUUGUCAUUAACAAUUUUCAAGUGAUUUUAAUAGCUUAAACAAACCAUCUAGUUAGCAUUAGACAUUGGAGAUUGUGUCUUUGCAAAUUGUAAAACUUCCAAUUAACCCUAGUGAUUUAAUAUGAAAGACAUGCAUUUUAAUAAACUUGUAGGGUUUGUCUAAUAGUGCCUAGGGUUUUAAUUUCAAGCUGGUUGACUUAACAUUGGGUGGUGAAUAUUAUAAACUCUUAAGUAGUAGACCUUCCAAAAGUUCUAAUUCCCUCUCAUACUCCCAAAUAUUCCCUCCUAAUGUUGCAUGCCUUGUCUAGUUUCUUUAUUGCAUGCCACAUGAUCCAUCUCAUAAGGUUGACCCGUUUAGAUCUCCAAACCCUAGGUUCCAUCAAGGCUUAAUUAUUUAAUACCAUGAUGAUUAUGGAGAUCUUAUGGGGAGUUGCAGAAGCUUUUGAGCUAAUAAACAUGUUUUUCGAAAGAUGAUCACCAUUGUAUGCACUCUAACACACCACCUUUUUCCAACAUUUUACGUACAACUUUGCAAAUAUAUAUAUAUAUAUAUAUAUAUAUAUAUAUAUAGCAGGGCUGCUGUGCUCUCAGGAGCACGGAGGCCUCCUGUGCUCCUGAGCGUUUUCGAUGAUGAAUUUUCGAAUCGACGAUCAGCUCCGUUAGACUUGAUCUAGCCGAUUUGAAAUUUCUAGAAAUAAUUUUGUGAUUUUUCGAUAUCAUUUACCUAGUGAUUGAACGGAUUCAAAAUCCAUAAUUUUUAAUGGUUGAUAUCUGUCGUUUUCAAGUUUAACGGUGUAGAAGUAUUCAAAUCAGAUGAAAUUUUGAUACAAAUUCUUUAUACUAUCUACAACAAGAUCAAUAUAUUCUGAUCGAAAAUUUUAGUGCUAUAUACACACUUUUUAUAAGAUUUUAUUUUCAGCGUUAAAAAUUAUUAUUUUGAAUCUUUCGAUUGCUAGGUAAAUGAUAUCGAAAAAUCGUAAAAAUUAUUUUCUAUAAACCUCAAAUAUACUAGAUCAAAUUUAACGGAGCCGAUCGUCAAUUCGGAAACUCCAUCAUCGAAAACGGCUCAGGGGCACGGAGGCCUCCUGCUCCUGAGAGCCACAACAGCCCUGCUUAAUAUAUAUAUAUAUAUAUAUAUAAUAUAUAUAUAUAGGCAGGGCUGUUGUGCUCUCAGGAGCACGGAGCCCUCCGUGCCCCUGAGCCGUUUCGAUGAUAGGACUUUCGAAUCGACGAUCGGCUCCCCUAGACUUCAUCUAGUGUAUUUGAAGUUUCUAGAAAUAAUUUUUGUGAUUUUUCAAUAUCAUUUACCUAGCAAUCGAAAGUUUCAAAAUCAAUAAUUUUAACGGCUGAAAAUAAAAAUCCUAUAAAAAGUGGUGAUAUAGCACUAAAAUUUCGAUCAGAAAUAUUGAUCUUGUUGUAGAUAGUAUAAAGAAUUUUGUAUCAAAAUUUCAUCUGAUUUGAAUACUUCUACACUGUUAACUUGAAAACGACAGAUAUCAACCAUUAAAAAUUAUUGAUUUUGAAUCCUUUCGAUCACUAGGUAAAUGAUAUCGAAAAAUCGUAAAAAUAUUUUCUAGAAACUUCAAAUACGCUAGAUCAAGUCUAAUGGAGCCGAUCGUCGAUUCGAAAAUUCUAUCAUCGAAAACGGCUCAGGAGCACGGAGGCCUCUGUGCUCUUGAGCGCACAGCAGCCCUGCUCAUAUAUAUAUAUAUAUAUAUAUAAUAUAUAUAAUAUAUAGAGAGAGAGAGAGAGAGAGAGAGAGAGAGAGAGAGAGAGAGAGAGAGAGCGUCUGGUAUGUUCUGGAAGCACGAAGCACUCCGUGCUUCCAAGUUGUUUUCGAUGUUCAGACUUUCGAAUCGACGAUCGGCUCCAUUAGACUUGAUCUAGAGUAUUUGAAAUAUCUAGAAAAUAAAUUUUGCGAUUUUUCGAUAUUAUUUGCCUAGUGAUCGAAGUGGCUCAAAAUCAACGGCUGAAUAAAAAUUUUACAAAAUAUGAGAUAUGGCAUUAAAAUUUUAGAUCAAGUUAUUGAUCUUAUUUUAUAUGGUAUAAAGAUUUUCUAUCAAAAUUUUAUAUGAUUUGGAUAUUUUUACACCGUUAAACUUGCAAACGGCUCACACGGCCUUUAAAAUUAUUGAUUUUGAACCCCCUUUCGAUCACUAGGCUAAUGAUAUCGAAAAAUCACAAAAUUUAUUUUCUAGAUACUUCAAAUACUCUAGAUCAAGUCUAACGGAGCGAUCGUCGAUUCGAAAGUCCCGAACAUGGAAGCAAUGAAGGGCUCGUGCUUCUAGAAACAUACCAGCCCCCUCUCUCUCUCUCUCUCUCUCUCUCUCUCUCUCUCUAUAUAUAUAUAUAUAUAUAUAUUAUAUAUAUAAUAAUAUAUAUAUUAUAUAUAUAUUAUAUAGUGCGGCUAGGAUGCUUAUGGAAGCACGGAGGGCUCCGUCCUUCCACUUUGUUAUUCGUGUUCGGACUUUCGAAUCGACGAUCGGCUCCGUUAGAGUUGAUCUAGAGUAUUUGAAGUAUCUAGAAAAUAAAUUUUGGAUAUCAUUUGCCUAGUGAUCGAAGUGGCUCAAAAUCAACGGCUGAAAAUAAAAAUCUUACAAAAUAUGAUGAUAUAACAUUAAAAUUUUAGACCAAAGUUAUUGAUCUUGUUUUAUAUGGUAUAAAGAAUUUUCUAUCAAAAUUUCAUAUGAUUUGAAUAUUUCUACACUGUUAAACUUGCAACCGGCUUACCAUGGCCCUUAAAAUUAUUGAUUUUGAGCUCCUUCAAUCACUAGGCAAAUGAUAUCGAAAAAUCGCAAAAUUUAUUUUCCAGGUACUUCAAAUACUCUAGAUCAACUCUAACGGCGCCGAUCGUCGAUUCGAAAGUCCGAACAUCGAAAACGACUUGGAAGCACGGAGGCCUCCGUGCUUCCAUAAGUAUACCAGCACAACUCUCUCUCUCUCUCUCUAUAUAUAUAUAUAGUGUGAGGCUACUAUGCUUCUGGAAGCACGGAGCCUUCCGUGAUUCCAGGUUUUUUCGAUGUUGCGACUUUCGAAUCGUCAAUCAGCUCCGUUAAACAUGAUUUAAAGUAUUUGAAGUACCUAGAAAAUAAAUUAUGCGAUUUUUUGAUAUUAUUUGCCUAGUGAACGAAGGGGCUCAAAAUCAACGGUUGAAAUUAAGAAUCUUACAAAACGUGAUAAUAUGACAUUAAAAUUUUAGAUCAAAGAUAUUGAUCUUGUUUUAUAUAGUAUAAAUUUCACGUGAUUUGAAUUAAAAUUUCAAAAUUUAUUUCAAAUAUGCUAGAUCAAGUCUAACGGAGUCGAUCGUCGAUUUGAGAACUCUAUCAUCAAAAACGGUUUAGGAGCAUGGAGGCCUCCGUGCUCCUAAUAACACACAAGGCCUACUAUAUAUAUAUAUAUAUAUAUAUAUAUAUAUAUAUAUAUAUAUAUAUAUAUAGAGAGAGAGAGAGAGAGAGAGAGAGAGAGAGAGAGAGAGAGAGCUAGGCUUCUAUGCUUUUGAAAGUACGGAGGCUUCCGUGCUUGUAAAUUAUUUUCAAUUAUGAAACAUUCGAUUUGACGAUCGGCUUAGUUAUGUAUGAUCUACGCUAUUAGAACUAUUUAGAAACCAAAUUUUAUAACUUUUAAUUACAUUUGCCUAGUGUACGAAUAGUCUCAAAAUAAAUAGCUGAAACCAAAAAUUUUAUAAAAAAUAAUGAUAAAAGGCUCAAAUUUUAAAUCGAAAAUAUUAUUCUUACUCUUGAUGUUAAGUAGAAUUUUUUAUUAAAGUUUCAUAUAAUUUGAAUUCUUCUAUACCGUUGAACUUACAAAUGUACUAUAUCGGCCGUUAAAUAAUCAUUUUUGAGACGCUUUGAUCACUUGAUAAAUGAUGUCGAAAAAUUAUGAAAUUUGGUUUCUAAAUAGUUCUAAUGGGAUAUAUCAUAUUUAAGGGAGCCGAUUGUCGAAACAGAUAUCCCAUCAGUGAAAAUAACUUAUAAGCAUGAAGGCCUCCGUGUUUUCGAAAACGCAAGAGACAUACGCUCUCCCUCUCUCUCUCUCUAUAUAUUGAGAAAAAUAGCUAGUUAUGUGUUGUAUACAUUAAAUUAAUGAACUAAGCUAUGGAAUUGAGGUAACAAAGCCUCAGAAAGGAAAUUCAUAAAAAAAAAAGAAGAGAGAGUGGAAGGGAUCGGUGAGAAGGUGGACUUUGAGAAAGCUUAUAAUAGAUUAAUUAGUCUUUCCUGGGCUUCGUUUGGUUCAGGGUUAAAUAAGAACUAGUUAUUUCAGGAAUAAGUAUAAGUUCAGGUAUAAGCCUGAAAUAAGCCAAUUUUGCAUUUAGAUGAAAAUUGAGUUAUUCUCGGAAAUGAGAAAAAUAGCAUUUGGAUAGAUAAGAUAGAAUAAGAAGAAUAGUAGAUAGUUAUAAAUAAAAAAUAAUGAUAUUGCCUCUUAUAUUUGAAUUUAAAUUUUUUAAUAUUUAUAUUUAAAAUUUUAAAUUUAAAUAUAUAACUUUAAAAAUAAUAAAAUUUAAAAUACAAUUUAAAUUUUUAAAUCUCAAAUUCAAAAAUUUAAAGUUCUAAAUUUUAAAUUUAAGAUUAAAUUUAAAUUUAAAAAAAAUUCAUUUUAAAUUUAAAAAAAUAUAAAUAAUAAUUUAAAAUUAUAAAUAUUAAUUAAGAUUAAAUUCUUAAAUUUUAAAAAUUUAAAAUUUAAAAUUAAAAUAUAAAUUUAAAUUUAAAAAUUAAAUUGGGGUCGGAUUAACUAAUCCCACCCCAAUUCCGGGUGUGGGGGUUUAUUAACCCACCCUAACGUUAUCUCUUCCCUUAAUCCCCAAACAUCAUUUUCAAAGGGUGUGGGGUUUAAUUAACCCCACCCCUAACGGGUUAUCCCCGGGAUAACCCGGGAUAACCCGUUAGGGUGGGUAAUAAACCCCACACCCUUUGAAAAGGAUGUUUGGGGAUUAAGGGGAGAGGCCGGGAGAUAAUCCCUUAUUCCCCCCUCCUAAACCCCAACCAAACGGGGCCUAAGAGAAUAAUGCUCUGCCUAAGUUUCAACAUCUAAAUAAUUUUUUUAUACAUAAAUUAUAGUAAUAAAUAAUAAAAUUAUAAAGUAAAAAAAUAUUAAUACUUAAUUAAUCAACUUUUAUCAUAUUUUAAAUGCACAAACUAUAUAAAGAAAAUAUUAAAACUUAACUAAUCAAAUUUUAUAAUAUUUUAGAUAUAUUAACUGAAUAAAAAAUAAUUAGUAACAUAAUUAAGUAUAUUUAAAUAUAACUAUCUUUAUCUAUUAUAUUAUAUUAUUAUUAUUUUUUUCACCUCUCUUCGCCGUAAUUGACUUUUCCCCCACGAUGGGGCGAAGUCAAUUACGCAGUUUGAGGUUAACUUGAGUUUCGACCGUAACUUUUUUACAGUGAACCAAGCAACGGAAGUGGCCGUUUAGGAUGAAAACGACUUCCCUCUUCUCUACUUCCACCCCACUUUCACCCAAACAAACAUGCCCUAAGUAGUGCCAAAUAUAUAGGUUUUAAAUCUAAUUUGAAAUAAAAACUUCAGACUAUUUUGCUUUUACAAAAAUUAGCUCUAAUUAUUCAUUCUAGCUUAAACUCCGAGUUUUUGUUUAUGGUAUUACUGAAUAACUUAUUUGUCGCGUCUUUCAAAAAUCAGAAGCUGUUUUGAAGUGCAAAUCAAACAAUUACGUAAAUAUUAAUUCGACUGCUUGUUCUCUAUUUCAAAUUUAGUUCGUUACGUAAUUGGCUUGUCACAACAUUUUUUUUUUCCUUUCAUAAUUCUUAUUUUUCAAAAUCAUUAUUUUUUUUUUAUUUUCUCUUUUUUUUUCUUUUGUAAUUUAAAAGGAGGUUAGGGGAAAGAUGAAACAUGAGGACUCUACUUGUUGUCUCAAGUGUCACAUCCUUUGGUAGCAUAAAUGGAGGCUGAGUCCAAAAGCAAGGAAUCUUACAACACGCAAACAUUUGCUCUUUAAUGGUCACAGGGAAAAGGGUUUGGCAUAAAAUGAUCACAUCUUAGCUUUUAAAGCCUCCCUUCACACACCUCCCCACUCUUCAUGAAAGUGGAGGACACAAAUGCUCUCUUUUUGUGGUUUUAUUGCCACAAGGCUUUGAAAAGGGAAGAGAAGGGAAAGAGAGAUAGAUAUAUAUAGCCCACAUGGUCUCAGCAGAAGACAACUACCGAACCUCUGGUUCCCUACAAUUCACCCCUACCCUAACCCUAACAACGAGGGUGCGCGUUUAAUAUUAUAUUAAAAUACUAAAAAUACUAUUCUCUUGUAACUUAAGCUUUGGGAGGAAAAGAAAAAAAGAAAGUUAUUUUGUAAACUUUAAAAUGGUACUAGAGAAGCCAACUGUGUACCCUAUCGCAGUCCGGCUUAGGGCUUUUAUUGACUGAUACUCGAGGUCUCAAGUUUAAAACCUUAUUAUUUCAUGUUUUGUUGCUAAGUUCAUUUCUAAAAAACGAACAAAACAGGUAGCUUUCUUUUUUCUCUCUUUCAUCACUAAUAAUAAUAAUAAUAAUAAUAAUAAUAAUGAUGAUGAUGAUAUCAAAAUAAAAAAUUUUGAGUUUGAGUCCCACCAGAAUCCUGGUUAAUUAAUUAAUAGUUUACGCUAUUAGAGAUAAAUGAUUGUUUUAUAUUCUUUGAUAGAAAUAUCAAUAUUUAGUUAGGAUUUGAGCAUUGGUUUGGCAACUAAAACUUGGAAUAAUGACCUGAAAAUGUUAUUAGUUCAAGGUUUUGCCGGUUUUUUCAAGUUUUCGACUAUUGAUUAAUUUUUUUUUGUUGAUUCUAAACAAAUCAAAAGAUCAGUUCACGGUCUAGUCCGUCCAUGCAACUGGCCAUAUAUAGUUUCAAAAAAUUAAAAAUUUUACUAGAUUAAUUGAUACGCUAUUAAUCUCAGUAAUAUUGCUAGCUAUACUAUAUGUUUAUAUUAUAAUACUAUACUAAAAGUUCAAUUAACUCCCACUUAAAGUUUAAAACUGGCUUGUUAAUUCCUGCUAUUUAAGAGGGUAUACAUGCUAGGGUGCUUUAAGAUUAAAUCUAGUUUCAAAAAAGGGAAUAGGCUCUGUAAGUCCAUUUGUACCCUCAUCCCAAAACUUUUUUAGUUGCUUAAUUUAUUUGAGGGCCCGGUGCACCGGUAACAAUGACCAAUGCUAUAUGUAUAUCCAAAAGAGAGUGUAUAAAUCUGUGGCACCUUACUUUUCAGAGAAUCAUCCAUUCCAAAGCUAUUCUAAUUCUGGCACGCUUAACCUUUUUAUCUUCUUGGGUCUAGUCACUUUUCAAUAUAUUAUAACCAGAUUAAGAACUUUCACAAAUAUCAGGUGAUGUAAGAUUCGUCUAGCUAGCCAUAGUGAAUGUUAUAAGGAGCCGCGCUCCAUCCAUAACGGUUAUCAGCCGGGGAACCGCGCUCCACCUAUAACGGUUAUCAGCCGGGGAACCGCGCUCUGUCCUCUGUAUGAUCCUGACUUAGCUAAAACUCAUUUCACACUUCCAACUAGUGAUUUACUCUGAUACCAUCUUAAUUUUUUCACGUUCUAAUUAGAAUUUUGCAAAUACUGAUUUUCAAAAAGAAAAAAAUCCUUUAGAAAAAAAUAAAUCCUUUUUUAAAUUAGUUUCGGGGCGUAACAAAAUCUUAUAUUUUCUGCAUCCAAGAGUGCAUUUUCACACUAAUAUUAAUGUUGCACCCUUCUUUUUUUUUAAUCCUUGGAUGGGAGUGAAUUUACACCCAAAAUUUUAGUCUAAGAAUAGCAUUUUUCCUAACAAAAGGGUGGUACAAUUAAGGCAUCAAACGAAAAGAAGAGAAUUAUUUCAAUCUUCUUGGUCAAGAGUGCUAAGAACAGUAAAAAAAAAAAGAUCAUAUUAAGAGAUUUAGUUCAAUUUCCCUGUUUAAGAGUGCUAAAAAUAGUACUAAAAAUAGUACUUAAAAUAGUGCUAAAUCAAGAUCAAAAUUUAUUUCGUAUUAUGGUAUUAAUUAAUUAGCUUAUUGUUUAAGUAAUAAAACACCUUCGUAUAUAUUAUGGUAUUAAUUAAUCAUGAUGUUUUAUUAGUUUUAGUAGAUCCAAAAAUUUGGAAAACUUUUUUUUAUGAAAACGAGUUAGUUAAUUGAUACGAUAGUUAUAUUCAUUAGAAUCCAAUAAUAAAAGUUAAUUAAAUAGAUAAUGCAAUAAAUUAUCAAGUUUGAUACUCCAUCUAGAAAAGAAAAUUUUCUAAAUUAUGGCAGCGGCACCAUAACAUUUAUGUCUCCAAUUAAUCAAAUAUGUCCAUGGAGUUUACUCAUCCCAUCAUGUGUUUUUUUUUAAAAAAUAUUAUUAUAUUUUUCUUUAAGAGAAAAAUUUUAAUUAGCUUGAGAUACUGCAACGCAGAUAUUGAUGUAACUGAAACUUUGUAACGGAUCACGUGGAGAUUUUAAAAAAUAUAGAAUGAAGGUGAUAUGUUAAAUUAUAUUAGUAAAAUUUGCAUUUCAAUUUCAUUAUUCUUUAAUUAUCACUACAACAAAAUUAAGUUAUAGAAACACAUGUUUAUGAACUUUUGUGUAUGUGUCCUAUUUAUACCAAAAUAUUUUAAAAAUCUACUAAUGCCUAAAUAUAAAGUCCAAUUCAACAAAAAUAAAAUGUUACUCUACUCAACCCACCCCACCCAGCCCAUUCGGCCCAAUUACAAACAGAAAAGAAAAAAAAAAAGAAAAAUCGAUUAUCAUCUCCCCUUCUUCCCUCACUCAAUCCACUAAAAUCCUAGACGAAGAGCCCUUCCCCCUCGUCUUCCUCUGCCACCGCAGAGACGAGAUAGAGUUUCGGCAGUUGCUAAAUGUUUAAAUAAGUGUUGGUAAAUUAGCAGCACUUUUUUAGGUUAUGGUGAUACUCUUUAACUGUCACUAUAUCCCUAACGAAUCCACAUAUAGCAACACUUUUUAAAAGUGUCGGUAAUUUAGCCAGCAGCAUUUUUUUUUAUCUAUACCGAUAUUUAAAAGUGUCGUUAUAAAUCGUUUUUGUUUUAGUGUUCUGGUAGUAUGGUUUUGGAUUAUUGUCAAAUCACUGAUAGAAUAUAAUUAAAAGAUCAUCGAAGUUAACCUUAAAUUGUUUGGUUGGGAGUUAAGGGGUGGAAUAACCCCUUAACCCCCAUUUUAUCCCCAAACACCCCAAAAAAUGGGUGAGGUUAGCUAACCCCACCUCAAAUAAAUUAUCCCGGGUUAGCUAACCCCACCUAAUCCCACCAAACUCCAACCAAACACUAGUUUCUAUUCAUAAUAACCUACUAUCUUUCUUAUCACACCUACUCCAACGAAUCAUUAUCCUUCUUUAUCAAUCAUUAUCUUCUUAUCCCACCUGCUCCAACCAAACACUAUUUUUCAUUAUUCUAGACUAACUCCAACCCCCAACCAAACACAAAAAAAUUUUAACCCCACUUUAACCCUGAACUUAACUCUAUCUCUGGAAUAGCUAUUUUUUCCUUAACCCCGAACCAAACGGAUUUAAAUUUUUUUUCUAAUCCAUCAUUGAUCAAAUCCUCUUUAUUUUUUCUGAUUUUUUAAAAGAGAAAGAUAGCAAGUUAUCUGCUUCAUUUAUUUUUUUAAAAAAUAAACUCAGCUAGAUAUAUAAAAUAAUUAGAAUCCAAAGUAGAGACUUUGAAUACCAAUCAUAAAGUCUUUA
rnacentral:lncRNA from 1 species